UACAGAGGGUGCGAGCGUUAAUCGGAAUUACUGGGCGUAAAGCGCACGUAGUCGGCUUUGCAAGUCGGGUGUGAAAUCCCCGGGCUCAACCUGGGAACUGCAUCCGAGACUGCAUUGCUAGAGUAUGGGAGAGGGAAGCGGAAUUUCUGGUGUAGCAGUGAAAUGCGUAGAUAUCAGAAGGAACAUCAGUGGCGAAGGCGGCUUCCUGGACCAAUACAUGACGAGUCAAGGUGGCGAAAGCGUGGGGAGCAAACAGGAUUAG
rnacentral:rRNA from 1 species